AAUCAACGCUGGCGGCGUGCCUCAGACAUGCAAGUCGAACGAUUAAACUUCUCUUCGGAGAAGAUAUAAAGUGGCGCACGGGUGAGUAACACGUAGGUAAUGUACCUUUGGGUGGGGAAUAACUUAGGGAAACUUAAGCUAAUACCGCAUAAUGCAGCGGCUCCUUCGGGAGACAGUUGUUAAAGAUUUAUCGCCUAAAGAGCAGCCUGCGGCAGAUUAGCUAGUUGGUAAGGUAACGGCUACCAAGGCUACGAUCUGUAUCCGACCUGAGAGGGUGGUCGGACACACUGACACUGAAUAACGGGUCAGACUCCUACGGGAGGCAGCAGUCGGGAAUUUUGGGCAAUGGGCGAAAGCCUGACCCAGCAACGCCGCGUGAAGGAUGAAGUCUCUCGGGAUGUAAACUUCGAAAGAAUAGGAAGAAUAAAUGACGGUACUAUUUAUAAGGUCCGG
rnacentral:rRNA from 1 species